rnacentral:rRNA from 1 species
UACGGAGGGGGCUAGCGUUUUUCGGAAUGACUGGGCGUAAAGGGCGCGUUGGCGGCGAUUCAAGUCAGAUGUGAAAGGCCUGGGCUCAACCCGGGAACUGCAUUUGAUACUGGAUUGCUUGAGUCCGGGAGAGGAUGGCGGAAUUCCCAGUGUAGAGGUGAAAUUCGUAGAUAUUGGGAAGAACACCGGUGGCGAAGGCGGCCAUCUGGACCGGUACUGACGCUGAGGCGCGAAAGCCAGGGGAGCAAACGGG